rnacentral:rRNA from 1 species
AUUGAACGCUGGCGGCAGGCCUAACACAUGCAAGUCGAGCGGGGUUUUCGGACCUAGCGGCGGACGGGUGAGUAAUGCGUAGGAAGCUGCCCGAUAGAGGGGGAUACCAGUUGGAAACGACUGUUAAUACCGCAUAAUGUCUACGGACCAAAGUGUGGGACCUUCGGGCCACAUGCUAUCGGAUGCGCCUACGUGGGAUUAGCUAGUUGGUGAGGUAAUGGCUCACCAAGGCGACGAUCUCUAGCUGGUUUGAGAGGAUGUUCAGCCACACUGGAACUGAGACACGGUCCAGACUCCUACGGGAGGCAGCAGUGGGGAAUAUUGGACAAUGGGCGCAAGCCUGAUCCAGCCAUGCCGCGUGUGUGAAGAAGGCCUUCGGGUUGUAAAGCACUUUCAGCGAGGAGGAAGGGGUGUGUGUUAACAGUACACACCUUUGACGUUACUCGCAGAAGAAGCACCGGCUAACUCUGUGCCAGCCGCCGCGGUAACAC